rnacentral:rRNA from 1 species
GGGAAUCUUCGGCAAUGGGGGCAACCCUGACCGAGCAACGCCGCGUGAGUGAAGAAGGUUUUCGGAUCGUAAAGCCCUGUUGUAAGAGAAGAACGGGUAUGAGCGUGGAAAGUUCAUACUGUGACGGUAUCUUACCCGCAAGGGACGGUCAACUACGUUCCAGCUACCGCGGUAAUACGUAGGUCCCGAGCGUUAUCCGGAUUUAUUGGGCGUAAAGCGAGCGCAGGCGGUUAGAUAAGUCUGAAGUUAAAGGCUGUGGCUUAACCAUAGUAUGCUUUGGAAACUGUUUAACUUGAGUGCAGAAGGGGAGAGUGGAAUUCCAUGUGUAGCGGUGGAAUGCGUAGAUAUAUGGAGGAACACCGGUGGCGAAAGCGGCUCUCUGGUCUGUAACUGACGCUGAGGCUCGAAAGCGUGGGUAGCGAACAGG